UACGUAGGGUGCGAGCGUUGUCCGGAAUUACUGGGCGUAAAGAGCUCGUAGGUGGUUUGUCGCGUUGUUCGUGAAAACUCACAGCUCAACUGUGGGCGUGCGGGCGAUACGGGCAGACUGGAGUACUGCAGGGGAGACUGGAAUUCCUGGUGUAGCGGUGGAAUGCGCAGAUAUCAGGAGGAACACCGGUGGCGAAGGCGGCCAUCUGGACCGCAACUGACGCUGAGGCGCGAAAGCGUGGGGAGCAAACAGG
rnacentral:rRNA from 1 species